rnacentral:rRNA from 1 species
UGCGCAGGCGGUUAUAUAAGUCAGAUGUGAAAUCCCCGGGCUCAACCUGGGAACUGCAUUUGAGACUGUAUGGCUAGAGUGUGUCAGAGGGGGGUAGAAUUCCACGUGUAGCAGUGAAAUGCGUAGAUAUGUGGAGGAAUACCGAUGGCGAAGGCAGCCCCCUGGGAUAACACUGACGCUCAUGCACGAAAGCGUGGGGAGCAAACAGGAUUAGAUACCCUGGUAGUCCACGCCCUAAACGAUGUCUACUAGUUGUCGGGACUUAAUUGUCUUGGUAACGCAGCUAACGCGUGAAGUAGACCGCCUGGGGAGUACGGUCGCAAGAUUAAA